ensembl:lncRNA
AUGGCAGUUAUCUACAGUUUCUCUUUCCCUGGUUGGAAACAUGCAGAAAUAGUUCAUCAUCGUCCCAUUGGAUAAUAAUGGACAUGUGGUAACAUGCAGAACUAGUUCAUCAUCGUUCCAUUGGAUAAUAAUGGACAUGUGGUAACAUGCAGAACUAGUUCAUCAUCGUUCCAUUGGAUAAUAAUUGACAUGUGGUAACAUGCAGAACUAGUUCAUCAUCGUUCCAUUGGAUAAUAAUGGACAUGUGGUAACAUGCAGAACUAGUUCAUCAUCGUUCCAUUGGAUAAUAAUGGACAUGUGGUAACAUGCAGAACUAGUUCAUCAUCGUUCCAUUGGAUAAUAAUGGACAUGUGGUAACAUGCAGAACUAGUUCAUCAUCGUUCUAUUGGACAACAAAGGACAUGUUGUAAAAAUAUAAGAUAUUUAUCUAAAGAGACAUCGGCACAUGUAGCAUGAGUCACAAAUGGCACCAUAUUCCGUUAAUAGUGCACUACUUUCUACCAGGCCCCUAGUGCACUACUUUCUACCAGGACCCUAGUGCACUACUUUCUACCAGGACCCUAGUGCACUACUUUCUACCAGGACCCUAGUGCACUACUUUCUACCAGGACCCUAGUGCACUAAUUUCUACCAGGCCCCUAGUGCACUACUUUAACCAGGACCCUAGUGCACUACUUUCUACCAGGCCCUAGUGCACUACUUUAACCAGGACCCUAGUGCACUACUUUCUACCAGGCCCCUAGUGCACUACUUUAACCAGGCCCCUAGUGCACUACUUUAACCAGGCCCCUAGUGCACUACUUUCUACCAGGCCCCUAGUGCACUACUUUAACCAGGGCCCUAGUGCACUACUUUCUACCAGGACCCUAGUGCACUACUUUCUACCAGGACCCUAGUGCACUACUUUCUAC